GACGAACGCUGGCGGCGUGCCUAAUACAUGCAAGUCGAGCGGAUGACGGAGGAGCUUGCUCCUCCUGAUUCAGCGGCGGACGGGUGGGUAACACGUGGGCAACCUGCCCUGUAGACUGGGAUAACUCCGGGAAACCGGGGCUAAUACCGAAUAAUCCUUCGGACCUCAUGGUCCGAUGUUGAAAGACGGCAUCUCGCUGUCACUACAGGAUGGGCCCGCGGCGCAUUAGCUAGUUGGUGAGUAACGGCUCACCAAGGCCACGAUGCGUAGCCGACCUGAGAGGGUGAUCGGCCACACUGGGACUGAGACACGGCCCAGACUCCUACGGGAGGCAGCAGUAGGGAAUCUUCCACAAUGGACGAAAGUCUGAUGGAGCAACGCCGCGUGAGUGAAGAAGGUUCUCGGAUCGUAAAACUCUGUUGUGAGGGAAGAACAAGUACCGGAGUAACUGCCGGUGCCUUGACGGUACCUCAUUAGAAAGCCACGGCUAACUACGUGCCAGCCGCCGCAGUAAAAC
rnacentral:rRNA from 1 species